GCCCCAGACGCGUCUGUCCGCCGGCAGCUGCAGCCCCUGGCGGCGGUGUCCGUUUGUCUUGCGGCGCCGGGCGAUCCUCUCUGGGUCCUCCUCCUCCUGGACCUCCCCGCCGCUGUUCCGAUUCCCGCCAGGUGCUCCCGGAUCGCACAGCCUUUAGCUUAGGCUUGCGGGGGUCACCGCGAGGCUCCGGCUUCUGCGACGUCCGGAAGGUGCUGCAGCUGCCGCUACCUCUAUCACCGCCGCCUCAGGUCUUCAUGAGGCUGUGAACACUGAGGUCGAGCAUGCGGACCAGGCUUCCCACAGCGCUGGCCGCCCUGGGCGUGGCCCUGCUCCUGUCUUCCGUUGAGGCAGAAGGUCCAGCUCUUUUGUAUUCUGCUUAAGCCAUUCCGUACAGUGCUGUGUGGUCUCCUUGCUCUUGUCUCUGCGGUGGUGUGCUGUCCACACUGCCACCUCCACUGGCGCCUUCCGAGAGGACCAGCCCCCCCCCACCCCGGGCGGGGGCGACGCUGCAUCUAGCUCUACCAACGGGACAUCUCCGGGUGGCACCCAGGAGCCUCGGAGCGCAGU